AGUGAACGCUGGCGGCGUGCCUAAUACAUGCAAGUCGAACGGAGUGGCGCACGGGUGAGUAAUGUAUAGCUAAUCUGCCCUACACUAGAGGACAACAGUUGGAAACGACUGCUAAUACUCUAUAGUGUAGGAUGAGGCUAUAUUGUAUCAGCUCGUUGGUGAGGUAAUGGCUCACCAAGGAUAUGACGCCUAACUGGUCUGAGAGGAUGAUCAGUCACACUGGAAGUGAGUCACUGUCCAGACUCCGCCGGGAGGCAGUAGGAGGGAAUAGUGCUCAAUGGGGGAAACCCUGAAGCAGCAACGCCGCGUGGAGGAUGACACUUGUCGGAGCGUAAACGCCUUUUGUUAGGGAAGCGGUACCAAACGAAUAAGCACCGGCUAACUCCGUGCCAGCAGCCGCGGUAAUUC
rnacentral:rRNA from 1 species